rnacentral:miRNA from 14 species
GAAAUCAAGCUUGGGUUAGAC